rnacentral:rRNA from 1 species
AACAAAAACAUGGUUUUUUGAAAAUAAUUUAAGAUUUAAUCUGCCCACUGAUUUAAUUAUUAAAGGGCCGCAGUAAAUUGACUGUGCGAAGGUAGCAUAAUCAAUAGUUUUUUAAUUAAAAGCUUGUAUGAAUGAUUGGACGAGAUAAAAGCUGUCUUUAUUUAAUUUAUUUUAGAAUUUAAUUUUUAAGUUAAAAAGCUUAAAUUUUUUUAAAAGACGAGAAGACCCUAUAGAUCUUUAUAAUUAUUUAUUAAAGUUAUUUUUUAGAAAUUAUUUAUUUAUUAAUAUAUAAUUAUUUUAUUGGGGUAAUAAAAAGAUUAAAUUAAUUCUUUUAUUUUUUUUUACAUUAAUUUAUGAUUAUUUGAUCCUUUUUUAGAGAUUAAAAGAUUAAGUUACCUUAGGGAUAACAGCGUAAUUUUUUUUUAGAGUUCAUAUCGAUAAAAAAGUUUGCGACCUCGAUGUUG